rnacentral:lncRNA from 1 species
ACACAGGACAAGAGCAGGAAGAAGGCAGCCCAAGGAUAACAAAAUGUAAGAGCUGACAGACCAGAGAUACCUGUGGCACCUCUUGGAUUAACUUUUCCAGCUCAGUGGAUGGUACCACAGCUUUCCAGAACAAGGCAAAAAAUGUGGAGACCUCCCUUCCUGUACCAGCUCCCACUUCCCAACAAUCUGACAGUCCUUACAGGACCUUCUACGACCAGAUCCUUCUCACCGAGGCUCACUCCUUGGUCUCCACUACAGCUGAAGAGGUUACAAGGAAUUCUGGCAUAUUACCAUCCUUGGCCUAGGAGCCCACCAAAGGAAUGUGUGGACCAGCAUUUGCUUUCAGACUUGCUCCUGCUGGCCUCCUGCCACUGCCUGAUGUCAGUGCUGCAAUGCUCUGUCAAUAGGGCAAGCCAUGGCAGGGCAAGUCCCCAUCGGCUCCCUUCCGAAGGAGGCUAGAGAAGCAGAGUGGUCAGACGUCUGAGAAGAGCCGGUGUCGUGAACCUUUUCUGCCCUGCCUUCUAGGAAUUCUAGCCACCUUCUGGUGCAGCUUGCCCCAGACAUCCAGACAUGGAGAGCCUUUGGUCUGAACUGUUCUCCACCUCAGACAACAGGCCUUCUGGGCAACACAAGGCACUCUGUACAACCCCAUUGGGAAGUCAGUGGCUUUUGCACCUUUGUGAAGUUGAAUCCUGCCUGGGAAGACAAGAACACAGACUGAGCAACCCCAACCUGGAUAUCUGACAUUG